CCUACGGGGUGCAGCAGUGGGGGAUAUUGCACAAUGGGGGGAACCCUGAUGCAGCGACGCCGCGUGGGUGAAGGAGUGCUUCGGCAUGUAAAGCCCUAUCGGCAGGGAAGAAGCAAGACGGUACCUGACUAAGAAGCCCCGGCUAACUACGUGCCAGCAGCCGCGGUAAUACGUAGGGGGCGAGCGUUAUCCGGAUUCACUGGGUGUAAAGGGAGCGUAGACGGCCAUGCAAGCCAGGGGUGAAAGCCCGGGGCCCAACCCCGGGACUGCCCUUGGAACUGUGCGGCUAGAGUGCGGGAGGGGCAGGCGGAAUUGCUGGUGUAGCGGUGAAAUGCGUAGAUAUCAGGAGGAACACCGGCGGCGAAGGCGGCCUGCUGGACCGCGACUGACGUUGAGGCUCGAAAGCGUGGGGAGCGAACAGGAUUAGAUACCCCUGUAGUC
rnacentral:rRNA from 1 species